UGAGUUUGAUCAUGGCUCAGGAUGAACGCUAGCGGGAGGCUUAACACAUGCAAGCCGAGGGGUAUGUAGUUGCUUGCAACUGCAGAGACCGGCGGAUGGGUGAGUAACGCGUAUGAAACUUGCCCGUAUCAUAGGGAUAGCCCGGGGAAACUCGGAUUAAUACCUUAUAACAUAUGGAUAGGCAUCUAUUUAUAUUAAAAGAUUUAUCGGAUACGGAUAGUCAUGCGUCAGAUUAGUUAGUUGGUAAGGUAAGGGCUUACCAAGGCGAUGAUCUGUAGGGGGCCUGAGAGGGCGAUCCCCCACACUGGUACUGAGACACGGACCAGACUCCUACGGGAGGCAGCAGUGGGGGAUAUUGCACAAUGGGGGAAACCCUGAUGCAGCGACGCCGCGUGAGGGAUGACGGCCUUCGGGUUGUAAACCUCUUUCAGUUGGGAAGAAGCCCUUUGGGGUGACGGUACCUUCAGAAGAAGCACCGGCUAACUACGUGCCAGCAGCCGCGGUAAUACGUAGGGUGCGAGCGUUAUCCGGAAUUAUUGGGCGUAAAGAGCUCGUAGGCGGUUUGUCACGUCUGCUGUGAAAGCUGAAGGCUUAACCUUCAGUUUGCAGUGGGUACGGGCAGGCUGGAGUGCAGUAGGGGAGACUGGAAUUCCUGGUGUAGCGGUGAAAUGCGCAGAUAUCAGGAGGAACACCGAUGGCGAAAGCAGGUCUCUGGGCUGUUACUGACGCUGAGGAGCGAAAGCAUGGGGGAGCGAACAGGAUUAGAUACCUUGGUAGUCCAUGCCGUAAACGUUGGGCACUAGGUGUGGGGACCAUUUCCACGGUUUCCGCGCCGUAGCUAACGCAUUAAGUGCCCCGCCUGGGGAGUACGGCCGCAAGGCUAAAACUCAAAGGAAUUGACGGGGGCCCGCACAAGCGGCGGAGCAUGCGGAUUAAUUCGAUGCAACGCGAAGAACCUUACCAAGGCUUGACAUACACUGGACCGGGCUAGAGAUAGUCCUUCCCCUUUGGGGCUGGUGUACAGGUGGUGCAUGGUUGUCGUCAGCUCGUGUCGUGAGAUGUUGGGUUAAGUCCCGCAACGAGCGGAACCCCUAUGCUAUGUUGCCAGCACGUAAUGGUGGGGACUCAUGGGAGACUGCCGGGGUCAACUCGGAGGAAGGUGGGGACGACGUCAAAUCAUCAUGCCCCUUAUGUCUUGGGCUUCACGCAUGCUACAAUGGCCGGCACAAUGGGUUGCGGGACUGUGAGGUUGAGCUAAUCCCAUAAAACCGGUCUCAGUUCGGAUUGGGGUCUGCAACUCGACCCCAUGAAGUCGGAGUCGCUAGUAAUCGCAGAUCAGCAACGCUGCGGUGAAUACGUUCCCGGGCCUUGUACACACCGCCCGUCAAGUCACGAAAGUUGGUAACACCCGAAGCCGAUGGCCCAACCCCUAGGGGAGGGAGUCGUCGAAGGUGGGACCGGUGAUUGGGACUAAGUCGUAACAAGGUAUCA
rnacentral:rRNA from 1 species